UACGAAGGGGGCUAGCGUUGUUCGGAAUCACUGGGCGUAAAGCGCACGUAGGCGGAUGCUUAAGUCAGAGGUGAAAUCCCAAGGCUCAACCUUGGAACUGCCUUUGAUACUGGGCAUCUUGAGUUCGGGAGAGGUGAGUGGAACUGCGAGUGUAGAGGUGAAAUUCGUAGAUAUUCGCAAGAACACCAGUGGCGAAGGCGGCUCACUGGCCCGAUACUGACGCUGAGGUGCGAAAGCGUGGGGAGCAAACAGG
rnacentral:rRNA from 1 species